CCUACGGGGGGCAGCAGUGGGGAAUAUUGGACAAUGGGCGCAAGCCUGAUCCAGCCAUGCCGCGUGGGUGAAGAAGGCCUUCGGGUUGUAAAGCCCUUUUGUUGGGAAAGAAAAGCAAUCGGUUAAUACCCGGUUGUUCUGACGGUACCCAAAGAAUAAGCACCGGCUAACUUCGUGCCAGCAGCCGCGGUAAUACGAAGGGUGCAAGCGUUACUCGGAAUUACUGGGCGUAAAGCGUGCGUAGGUGGUGAUUUAAGUCCGUUGUGAAAGCCCUGGGCUCAACCUGGGAAUUGCAGUGGAUACUGGGUCACUAGAAUGUGGUAGAGGGUAGCGGAAUUCCUGGUGUAGCAGUGAAAUGCGUAGAGAUCAGGAGGAACAUCCGUGGCGAAGGCGGCUACCUGGACCAACAUUGACACUGAGGCACGAAAGCGUGGGGAGCAAACAGGAUUAGAUACCCGAGUAGUC
rnacentral:rRNA from 1 species